rnacentral:tRNA from 1 species
ACUUUCUUAAUAUAAAAAUUAUAUUUGAUUUCCAAUCAAAAAAUCUAAUAAAACCAUUAGAGAAAGUA